rnacentral:rRNA from 1 species
GGGAGUGGCUCACGGGUGAGUAACGCGUGGGAAUCUACCUAGUUCUACGGAACAACAGUUGGAAACGACUGCUAAUACCGUAUACGCCCUACGGGGGAAAGAUUUAUCGGAAUUAGAUGAGCCCGCGUAAGAUUAGCUAGUUGGUGGGGUAAUGGCCUACCAAGGCGACGAUCUUUAGCUGGUCUGAGAGGAUGAUCAGCCACACUGGGACUGAGACACGGCCCAGACUCCUACGGGAGGCAGCAGUGGGGAAUAUUGGACAAUGGGCGCAAGCCUGAUCCGCCAUGCCGCGUGAGUGAUGAAGGCCUUAGGGUUGUAAAGCUCUUUCAGUAGGGAAGAUAAUGACGGUACCUACAGAAGAAGCCCCGGCUAACUUCGUGCCAGCAGCCGCGGUAAUACAAAGGGGGCUAGCGUUGUUCGGAUUUACUGGGCGUAAAGCGCACGUAGGCGGAUUGGUCAGUUAUAGGUGAAAUCCCGAAGCUCAACUUCGGAACUGCCUUUAAUACUGCCAGUCUAAAGUCCGGAAGAGGUGAGUGGAACUCCUAGUGUAGAGGUGGAAUUCGUAGAUAUUAUGAAGAACACCAGUGGCGAAGGCGGCUCACUGGUCCGGUACUGACGCUGAGGUGCGAAAGCGUGGGG